UCCUCGAGGCUGCCCACACAACCAGGAUACAAAGCUGGUCCAGUCUGUGGCUGGAACAGUGUGACACAGCCAGAGUCAUUUUGCACAUCAGUAAAAGCACUCUGUGCAGGAGCUGCUUUGUGCAGGAAGAAAUUAGAAAGAUGAGUCACCAUCAGUUGGCAUGAAGGCUCUGGAUGUGACACCUCCGGUCACAAAGUGGGGACCAGUUCUACUUGUACUCAGUAGUACAGCAAAACCUUCUUUUCUGCUGUAGCACAGCAGCCCAUCCACCUUGUAAGAAAGCCUGUCUGUGAAGUGGCUUAAAUGGAGGCACCUAUCAGGUAGAAAGCCACUUGCUAUGUGCUUGAACAGCUCUCAACAAUGCAAAGCCAUCAACAAGGUUGCAGUUUUGGAAGAAGAAGAGGGAGAAAAAAGAUGGAAAGUCUUUCCACCUACUAAGUGGAAAGUUAAGAAAAUGGGAAGGCUUUUACCGACAUGGAAGGCUGUUGCACUUCAAAGAAUUGCUGUCUGCAAAUGAGCACGUUCAGUAUGCACAGCCAUCCCCAGUGGAUGCAAAACUCACCGGAACACCACCUGUGUGCUGUGAGGUUUGUUCUGUGUACAAGAAAGUCUGAACUUAAACACCUGACCUCUUUUUCCCCUAUAGCUGACCACAAAUAGUUGAAAGGAAUUUGGAAGAAUAUGGCUGUCCCCCUAGUGUAAAGUGGAAUAGUACCAGCUGAAACAAAUGAGUCUUUGCUCAUCCGGCUGACCAAGAGUAGAAUUCACCGGUCACUGAGAAUAAUUUUUGGUUUUAAAUUAUCCAACUCUCAAGAAAAAACACAUUGUGAUGGUUAAAAUUAGGUUCACUGUUAAAGAGUUGGUAGGAUGCACUGCUUCCACAGUAGUUACUGUGCUGAGAAUUCGAAUGUGAUAAUCCUAAACCACGAAUGCAAACAUUAAACUAAAGACAUAAAUAUCAGAGCCAUUCUUACUCUAUGAAUCAGGACCCAGGUCUCUUACCUUCUUCUGGUCCAACCAGUUACUGGAGGCAUACUGGCUUCUAAUGACUUUUCAGAUGCCAGUUCCCAACUACUGAAAUCUGUAUUAUCAUUGCUGUUGUAACAUAAAUGGAAGAUACAGUUGUUAACUAGUCCCCAGUUUGGUUUUGGAAGCUCCUGUCUGAGUGUAAUUGCAAUGUUAAUUCUCUCAGCCACUUUAAUGGUUCUGACACCACAGAGGAUGAACAGUUUCACUUGUAUUCCCGCUGUAAUUACUAAGAGGUUGUAGCCAUUACAUUAAGAAAAACUAUUUGCUGCAUGUACUUGUCUAUGUGUAGAAAUGCCUUUGCUUUUUGAGAGUGGGAGAAAAUACUACCAGGUGUUUAUGAUAAAAUCCAAGGAGGUCAGGGGCAUUCUGGAUACUAACAAUGAGUUCACUAAGUGAGCUAAAGAUAAAAAAUCAACAUUUAUUUUUGAUGUCAGGAGUGGUUUUAGCUCAGCUCUAAAAGAAGUGGUAUUGGUGUGGAUGAGGUACCCCACAGACACAUACUCUGCAUGAGGUGGAAUGAGGCUGAUUUUAGGUAAAUAGCACUACACACAGGCAGUUCUAGUGUAAGUGAAAGGUUACUUAAAUUGGUUUAGCCACAAGAAGUGGUAGAAUAAUAUAUCUGAAACAAUAUACAGAGAAAGAAAAAAAAGGUAAGUAGGAAGGUGUAAAGGAUGAAGUAGCUAUUUUGCAUAAGAUUGAAAUUACUUUAGUCAGUCCAAGAAGUUGCCUCAAAAGCAAUGUUAAGUUUGCAGUCUGCUUCAGCAGCAACCCUGUGAACUGGUACAGACAAAUCAUCUACUGGAAGGUGAAUGUGAAAAUUCAAGGAAUUAUUUGGGACACAAUGAUGAGAAAAAAACACCAACAAAACACCAA